AAGUCACUUUGAGAUCCCUCAGCCAUCUAGAAAACCUGAAAAAGCAGAGGAAGGAAAAAUGAAUUCGACAUUCAAAUCCACCCUCCCACCGCCAAAUCAAGCGAAAGGGCGAGGAUCUCAAACAAAAGAUUACGCGAAAACUAAAGGUGACAAAUCAUCUCUCCGAACGCGAAAUUCAUGUAAACAAUCGAGCACGAAAUGCAUAUGGUGCUCGACACUGUUCUAAGCUAAAACCCAACCGUCAGUUGGUGAAAACAAGCGAUUUCUCGCC
rnacentral:lncRNA from 1 species